rnacentral:rRNA from 1 species
UACGAGAGCCUCGAGCGUUAUCCGGAAUUAUUGGGCGUAAAGGGUGCGUAGGUUGUUUUGUUAGUCUUUUGUUAAAGCCCCAGGCUUAACCUGGGAUCCGCGAAAGAAACGGCAAAACUAGAAAGUGUGAGAGGUGAAUGGAACUCAUGGUGUAGGGGUGAAAAUCCGUUGAUAUCAUGGGGAACACCAAAAGCGAAGGCAAUUCACUGGCGCAUAUUUGACACUGAAGCACGAAAGCGUGGGUAGCGAAUGGG